rnacentral:rRNA from 1 species
AGCCCCGUACACAAAAAUGCACAUAUUGUGAGCUUGAUGAGUAGGGCGGGACACGUGGUAUCCUGUCUGAAUAUGGGGGGACCAUCCUCCAAGGCUAAAUACUCCUGACUGACCGAUAGUGAACCAGUACCGUGAGGGAAAGGCGAAAAGAACCCCGGCGAGGGGAGUGAAAAAGAACCUGAAACCGUGUACGUACAAGCAGUGGGAGCACGCUUAGGCGUGUGACUGCGUACCUUUUGUAUAAUGGGUCAGCGACUUAUAUUCUGUAGCAAGGUUAACCGAAUAGGGGAGCCGAAGGGAAACCGAGUCUUAACUGGGCGUUAAGUUGCAGGGUAUAGACCCGAAACCCGGUGAUCUAGCCAUGGGCAGGUUGAAGGUUGGGUAACACUAACUGGAGGACCGAACCGACUAAUGUUGAAAAAUUAGCGGAUGACUUGUGGCUGGGGGUGAAAGGCCAAUCAAACCGGGAGAUAGCUGGUUCUCCCCGAAAGCUAUUUAGGUAGCGCCUCGUGAAUUCAUCUCCGGGGGUAGAGCACUGUUUCGGCA